rnacentral:lncRNA from 1 species
AGGGGUGGGGCGCUCCUUAGACAACAUGGCGGGAGGGAGAAAGCGUCUCAGGGGUGAGGCACUCCAGCGCUUUGCUGGGCGGACACAUGAAGCUUCCUUUCUCCCGCAGCUCUGUAGAAAAAGGCUCAACCGAUCCCAACCAUUCGAAGGAAUCCGUUGGAUGAGUGGGAGGCCUUGCGUUUAUUAGACUCCCUCCAGUGUAGUCGGAACAAGUGUUCGUUUUACUUUCUUCAGUAUUUGAGAUGAGAUAAUCUCCUUCCUGACUUAAAUUUUGUGCGUGCGUGCGAGAGAAACAUCUGAAUCGAGAGGGACUUAAUGAGAAAAGCUUGGUCCCCUCCUUACCAACUGUAGCACCUUGAAGCCCUGCAAGUUUUCCAACAUACAAGGAGGAGAUCAAAUCCACUUGCCUUGUAGACAAGGAGGCUCAUUCCUCAAGCCCGGCUGUUGUGAAGGGGGUUAUGAUAAACACGGAUGUGCAGGUUUCUGAGGAAAGAUGAUCCUCAGGUGGAGAGAGACAUUUUCAGCCAUGAGGAGAGUUAGGGAGAGAUGGAACCUCGUAUCUUCACAGAAGGUGGGGCUGGCCAGUUUGCCUAAAGCAUGGCAUGAAGGGGUGAUCAAUGAAGCCAUUGCAUCAAAGGCAAGGUCUCCUACACCAUGGAAAGGAGCCGAAAUAUGUCCUCCAUUCAGAGGGAAGCCAGGAAAAGCUUUGAAUCAUGGGAGCUUUGAAUCAUUUAGUGGAAGCAGCGACUGUUCUGUAGAAAACGAAAGCAAGGCUGUGUUUUAAUCUGGCAUGGUUUCUGAUGCAUACAUGAAUCAGACAAAUAUUUCUCAGGAAGACCUGGGUUCAGUUCCCGGCACCCACGUGUGGCUCACAAUCACCUGUCACUUCAGCUCCAGACGAUUUGACUCUCUCUUCUGACCUCUACAGAUACAAGGCACAAAUGCGGUCAAGAACAAACUGUAUCUAGAUAUAAAUAACACAUAAAUAUGAGCAGGCCUGGUUCAUGGACAUAUUCCUUUAGAGCUCUAAGGAACAAGUUAGCUUUGUGACUUUGACAGAAAACAGAAGGCUCCUACUGGUUACAUGGAGACAUAGUGUCUGGCAAAGGAGUGGAUCAUCUGAAGACCUUGGUAUUAGAAGGAGAACUAGACCUCAGGGAGGAGGCUUCCGGCUCAGCACCAGAACGAGUCUUCUAAGUUCUGUCUCUGAAGUUUGUGAUGUCUUCAGUAACAAAGCUUACCCUCCAGUGUUUGGAGGUUAAAGAUGAAAACCAGCUGUUGAUUGUGAGAAAAUGCAUCCAGGUUCAUAAAUCCGGACUCCAAGUGUAGUGACCAAAGUGGAGGUGCUGUGGAGUGUAAUCAUCAGAAGACCAGAUGGGCCUCUUAUAUUCUCAUCUGCAUGAAACCCCCCCCCCCUUACUUCUAGCCUUACCACAUUGAGGAUUUUAUAUAGUCAUUCAUUUGUUUAGACAGGCUCUCACAAUACAGCCUAGGUUGUCCAAAGCUCACUAUAUAUCCCAGCUAACAGUGAACUACUCACACUACCCCUGCCUCAGCCUUCUGGGUGCUAGGAUUAGAGCCAUUAAGCCACAACCCAUGACAACUUCAAAUAAUUUUUCCAAAUCCAUUUCCUCAUCUCUGAGGUGAGGGGCUGAUGCUAAAGCAUAAAUCAUAAGGUGAGUUUAGAAAAGGAGAUGGCGAGACCCAUAGCAAAUGCUAUCAAAAGGUGGACAGCAUCCACCAUGGGAGUUUGGGAGUAAACUGAUUUCAUGGGUCACAGAUGAUGAAGAGGAUAAUGGAGAAUUUUUGUUGUGGGAGGAAGUCAUGUGGUUACAUGUGGAAGCCAUGAACAGGUGUACAGGGUACCAAUACAAAAUAUUUCCUGUUGUGGAUCAUGAUCAAUAAAGUUAGGUCAGCAUUAUGGUCUAUUACUUUUGCCCACUUAUCAUUUUGUUUGAUUUUUUUCUCAUGGUUUAGAAUGUAUCUCAUUUUCUUACUGCCAUUUUGGUAGUAACAUGGCCAUCGCCUCACAUAAGAAUAACACUCCCACAAAACUAUGCCUUCUCCAUCCUUCCAGCCAUGGCAGCCAUGAUACGCAUGCAUUUGACUUCUGUGCAUCUUAUAAGUCACUGAGCAAGUUGCUAUCCAUCAUUAUGA